UCCUUGGUGGUCCAGUGGCUAAGACUUGGCAUUCUCAAUGCAAGGGGCCCAGGUUCAAAUCCUGGUCAGGGAA